rnacentral:rRNA from 1 species
UAGGGAACUGAAAGGACCGACCUUCGGGAGCCUAUACAGGUGUUGCAUGGCUGUCGUCAGCUCGUGUCGUGAGAUGUUCGGUUAAGUCCGCUAACGAGCGCAACCCUCGUCGUAUGUUAUAUGUGUCAUACGAGACUGCCGGUAAAAGCCGGAGGAAGGUGAGGAUGAUGUCAAGUCAGCAUGACCUUUAUAUCCAGGGCUACACACACGCUACAAUGGUCUGUACAAUGGGUAGCCAAGCCGCGAGGCGGAGCCAAUCCUGAAAGCAGGCCUCAGUUCAGAUUGCAGUCUGCAACUCGACUGCAUGAAGCCGGAGUUGCUAGUAACCGCAGGUCAGCAAUACUGCGGUGAAUACGUUCCCGGGUCUU